rnacentral:rRNA from 1 species
CGCCGCGUGAGUGAAGAAGGUUUUCGGAUCGUAAAACUCUGUUGUUAAAGAAGAACAAGGAUGAGAGUAACUGCUCAUCCCCUGACGGUAUUUAACCAGAAAGCCACGGCUAACUACGUGCCAGCAGCCGCGGUAAUACGUAGGUGGCAAGCGUUGUCCGGAUUUAUUGGGCGUAAAGCGAGCGCAGGCGGUUCUUUAAGUCUGAUGUGAAAGCCCCCGGCUCAACCGGGGAGGGUCAUUGGAAACUGGAGAACUUGAGUGCAGAAGAGGAGAGUGGAAUUCCACGUGUAGCGGUGAAAUGCGUAGAUAUGUGGAGGAACACCAGUGGCGAAGGCGACUCUCUGGUCUGUAACUGACGCUGAGGCUCGAAAGCGUGGGGAGCAAACAGGAUUAGAUACCCUGGUAGUCCACGCCGUAAACGAUGAGUGCUAAGUGUUGGAGGGUUUCCGCCCUUCAGUGCUGCAGCUAACGCAUUAAGCACUCCGCCUGGGGAGUACGGCCGCAAGGCUGAAACUCAAAGGAAUUGACGG